rnacentral:lncRNA from 1 species
CUGCUUAUCAUAUUCUAAUGGGCAAUGGCCCUCACAAUAUUGACAGCAUAUUUAGGAGAGAAAGAUAAAGAUUUAGACAAGAUAGUAGAAGGACACAUGUGCACACACAUGUGCACGCACACACACAACUAGUGAUGAAGACCCACAUCCGGGAGGUCAGAAUAGGAAAGAUGUGGACUCCCUUAAGGAUUCAGGAAGCUAUUGAGCUAAAGUAGGAAAGUAUCCAAGAAAGAAAAAAAAAAAACAGCUUCCAAAUACCAGAGAGAUGAAACUCUGAUUCCUUCAUGAAAUGAAUUGAAAGUACUCUGUGUAACUGAAGGCAAACUUUUAAUCAAUUGGAUUUCAAGGGUGCGGGCUGAGUCUAUGCCGUGCAAUGACUGGACAGUAAAUCACCUACCAGAAGCUGCUAAACUUCACGUGGUGCUCUCCACCAAAAUGGCUAGAGAGAUCCACCAUUGGCAGCACACUCCCUUCAACUUGCUGUUUCUAUACUGGAAAUUGUUUUAUUUGAUCCAACCAUAUCACCGCCUAGGUAGGGUAAUGUCUUGCCCAAACAGUGAAGUCUCUUAAGUCCAUCUUUGAAAUAAAAAUU